rnacentral:tRNA from 1 species
GCUUCGAUAGUCUAAUGGCUUAGGACGCUCGUAUACAAGAGAUCCGGGUUCAAGUCCCGGCCGAGGUA